rnacentral:rRNA from 1 species
UACGUAGGGUGCGAGCGUUAAUCGGAAUUACUGGGCGUAAAGCGUGCGCAGGCGGUUUUGUAAGCCAGAUGUGAAAUCCCCGGGCUUAACCUGGGAACUGCAUUUGGGACUGCAAGGCUUGAGUACGGCAGAGGGGGGUAGAAUUCCUGGUGUAGCAGUGAAAUGCGUGGAUAUCAGGAGGAAUACCGAUGGCGAAGGCAGCCCCCUGGGUCGAUACUGACGCUCAUGCACGAAAGCGUGGGGAGCAAACAGG